UACGUAGGGUGCGAGCGUUGUCCGGAAUUAUUGGGCGUAAAGGGCUCGUAGGCGGUUUGUCGCGUCGGGAGUGAAAACCAGGUGCUUAACACCUGGCUUGCUUUCGAUACGGGCAGACUAGAGGUAUUCAGGGGAGAACGGAAUUCCUGGUGUAGCGGUGAAAUGCGCAGAUAUCAGGAAGAACACCCGUGGCGAAGGCGGCUCUCUGGGACGGUACUGACGCUGAGACGCGAAAGCGUGGGGAGCGAACAGG
rnacentral:rRNA from 1 species